rnacentral:rRNA from 1 species
AUUGAACGCUGGCGGCGUGGCUAAAGCAUGCAAGUCGAACGAGAACCCAGCAAGUGGGGACAGUGGCGGAAGGGCGAGUAAUGCAUUCCUACGUGCCUUGAGGUGGGGGAUAGGUCGGGGAAACCCGGCGUAAUACCCCAUGUGCUCUCCGGAGCAAAGGUUUACCGCCUUGAGAGCGGGGAAUGUCCUAUCAGGUAGUUGGUGAGGUAAUGGCUCACCAAGCCAAUGACGGGUAGCGGGUGUGAGAGCAUGACCCGCCGCAUCGGGACUGAGACACUGCCCGGACUCCUACGGGAGGCUGCAGCGACGAAUAUUCCGCAAUGCGCGAAAGCGUGACGGAGCGACGCCGCGUGCAGGAUGAAGCGACUCUGCCGUGUAAACUGCUGUCAGAGUGUAGAAAAACUGAUCACACUCAAAGGAAGGGCCUGCUAAUCUCGUG